UGAAAAAUUGCCAAGCUGUGGCUGGUGAAUAAAAGUUCAAUUACAAUUGUGCUUGUUAAUGAAAUCCAAGUGCUACAGCAGGGAAGCUAGCAGAAGCAGCCCUCUUUCCUGAAAGCACAAACCGGGAAGCUGGAGACCGAAUGUUCAAAUGGGUAACAGCCAGGCCAAAUAUGACAACGGAACUCUGACCCACAAUUUCUGGAGCAGAAUGAUCAGGACUUGGAACUUUGCACCAUACCUGACAGAGCAGACAAAGACCAAGUGGCCCCUGGAGUUUCGGCGAUCCUUUUCAACUUAGCUGCACCGAGGCAGGAGGCUCGAUUCUGUUUUUCUCAAGCAAGGGAAUCCUUUGGUCUUGUUGAAAUAGAAGUGCUUGUCUGUGAUGAACCUCUUGAUGCCCAGAAAGUCCUGGACCCGGCCCAUCUCGCCUGCCGGGUCGGUGAUGAGCCGCUCACCACUGACAAAGUGGAUCUGAGCCAGAGGGAAGUACUGCAGCCAGCUCUCCAGGUGCAGCGCGUACAUGCCGAUGCGGAUGGCGUUCCACGACACGUCCACCUGGCCCAGCGUGCGGUUGCGGAAGGAGAGGCCCUCGAAGUGUCUUAGAAAGGAGUUCUGAUGUCGUUUUCUGCUGGAACACAUCUGAGAUACAUCCUCAGUAUAAGCCUGAAAUAGCACAGAACUCCAGGCUGGAAACCAGAAAGCAACAAAUGUGCAGCAUGCAUCGGCCAUAGCCGUGGUCUGCUGAGAGCUGAAUGUUUAUAUCCUCCCUCAAAUUCAUACUUUGAAGCCCGACCUGCACCACCGCCCACCCCCGCACUCCAUGUGACCGACCAUCUUUGGGGAGGGGGCUGUGGGAGGUGAUGAGGUCUUGAGAGUGAAGUCCUCACAAAUGGGCUUAGUGCUAUUAUAAGGAUAAAAGCAAGAGAGUUGAUCUCCCCCACCACAGCAAGAUCCAGCAAGAAGCUGUCUGCAAACCAGGAAGAGAGCUCUCACCAGGAACCAACCUGACCGGCAAUCUGAUUUUGGAUUUCCAGCCUCUGGAGCCGAGAGAAGUAAAUGCCUGUUGUUGAAGCCCCGCCACCCCGCCAUGGUAGUGUUGUGAUAGUAGCCGGGGCUGACAGAGAUGUGGGUCACCGAUGCCCUGGACAUAAGCUAGUGCCUGUCGCACAGUGGCCAGUGGGGGGUGGUGGUGGUGCUGCGAGGUUCUCAGUUCUAUGGGAGAACUGCCUCCCUCAGUCUCCACGUGAACUCCAGGAGGCCACCAGCCUCACUAUUCCUGCUUGCUGGCAGAGGAAAUUGGGGCACUGAAAACACACGUCAUCGCCAAAGCAACAGCAAGAUGCAGAAUCUGGACUCAAGUGUGACUCUAACACUAGAAGAAAACGUGAGAAUGUAAAAUUAAUCUUGGCAUGAGGACAGCCUUUCUAAGCAUGAGACAAAAAUCAUGAAGGAAGAAACUGAAAAGUUAGGCUAUGUGAAAAAUGGAAGUCUCCGGGAUGGAAAAAAAAGCCCACCAUAAAUAGAAUAGAGGGAAAAUGACCCCUUGGAAACAUAUCUGCAGCAUGUGAGACUGAGAAACGAAAGGAUGACUUCACAUAUGUUGCUUCGAAGUUCUUGAAAAUUAGUAAGAAAAAGAGAACAAGCCAGUAGAAUAAAGGCACACAGGCCCUGAGAAGAGUUAAUAGUAAAGGAGCUUGGAUUAAAAGAAAUACAUGAAAAGAUACUCCAUCUCUCGCAAAGUUAUAGAAAUGCAAAUUAAAACCACGAUGAGAUAGUAUCCACCUUAAACGUUGAAAAAAUACAUUUAAAAAAUGAUAACAGUUAUUGCUGGCAAUGGUGUGUUGAACUAGUAAGCACUCUCCCAUAUCGGGAGGAGUGUCAAUGGGUGCAGCAGGAGGGCAAUUAGAGAGGAUCUCCCCAAAUGUAAAAUGCACCCUUUAUUUAUUUAUAUUUAAAGAUUUUAUUUAUUUAUUCAUGAGACACACACACACACACACAGAGGCAGAGACACAGACAGAGGGAGAAGCAGGCUCCAUGCAGGGAGCCCGAUGUGGG